UACAGAGGGUGCAAGCGUUCAUCGGAAUUACUGGGCGUAAAGCGAGCGUAGUCGGUUAUUUAAGUCGGGUGUGAAAGCCCCGGGCUCAACCUGGGAAUUGCAUUCGAUACUGGAUAGCUAGAGUUCGGCAGAGGGAAGCGGAAUUUCCGGUGUAGCGGUGAAAUGCGUAGAUAUCGGAAGGAACAUCAGUGGCGAAAGCGGCUUCCUGGACCAGAACUGACGAUCAGGCUCGAAAGCGUGGGGAGCAAACAGG
rnacentral:rRNA from 1 species